CCUACGGGAGGCAGCAGUGAGGAAUAUUGGUCAAUGGCCGGAAGGCUGAACCAGCCAUGCCGCGUGAAGGUCAGUGCCCUAUGGGCGUUAAACUUCUUUUGUGCGGGAGCAAUAAUGGUCACGUGUGGCCAGACGAGAGUACCGUACGAAUAAGCAUCGGCUAACUCCGUGCCAGCAGCCGCGGUAAUACGGGGGGUGCAAGCGUUAUCCGGAUUUAUUGGGUUUAAAGGGUGCGUAGGCUGGGAGGUAAGUCAGCGGUGAAAUGCCCCCGCUCACAGGGGUGAAGUGCCAUUGAUACUGCCUUGCUGGAAUGCGGAUGCAGUGGGAGGAAUGUGUGGUGUAGCGGUGAAAUGCAUAGAUAUCACACAGAACACCGAUUGCGAAGGCAUCUCACGAAUCCGCGAUUGACGCUGAUGCACGAAAGCGUGGGUAUCGAACAGGAUUAGAUACCCUGGUAGUC
rnacentral:rRNA from 1 species